AGUCAAUAGAUACCCUGGUAGUCCCAGCUGUAAACGAUGCGCGUUAGGUGUAUCGGUGACCACGAGUCACCGAGGUGCCGAAGGGAAACCGUGAAACGUGCCGCCUGGGAAGUACGGUCGCAAGGCUGAAACUUAAAGGAAUUGGCGGGGGAGCACCACAACAGGUGGAGCCUGCGGUUUAAUCGGACUCAACGCCGGGAAGCUCACCGGAUAAGACAGCUGAAUGAUAGCCGGGUUGAAGACUCUGCUUGACUAGCUGAGAGGAGGUGCAUGGCCGUCGUCAGUUCGUACUGUGAAGCAUCCUGUUAAGUCAGGCAACGAGCGAGACCCACGCCAACAGUUGCCAGCAUGUCCUCCGGGAUGGUGGGGACACUGUUGGGACCGCCUCUGCUAAAGAGGAGGAAGGAAUGGGCAACGGUAGGUCAGCAUGCCCCGAAUUAUCCGGGCUACACGCGGGCUACAAUGGUCAGGACAAUGGGUAUCAACACCGAAAGGUGAAGGCAAUCUCCUAAACCUGUCCUUAGUUCGGAUUGU
rnacentral:rRNA from 1 species